AUUGAACGCUGGCGGUAUGCUUAACACAUGCAAGUCGAACGGUAGCAGGCCUUCGGGCGCUGACGAGUGGCGGACGGGUGAGUAAUGCAUAGGAAUCUGCCUGGUAGUGGGGGACAACUUAGGGAAACUUAAGCUAAUACCGCAUACGCCCUACGGGGGAAAGCGGGGGACUUUCGGGCCUCGCGCUAUCAGAUGAGCCUAUGUUGGAUUAGCUAGUUGGUAGGGUAAAGGCCUACCAAGGCGACGAUACAUAGCUGGUCUGAGAGGAUGAUCAGCCACACUGGGACUGAGACACGGCCCAGACUCCUACGGGAGGCAGCAGUGGGGAAUAUUGGACAAUGGGCGAAAGCCUGAUCCAGCAAUACCGCGUGUGUGAAGAAGGCCUGAGGGUUGUAAAGCACUUUCAGUGGGGAGGAAAAAGAGUUGGAUAAUACCCGGCUUAUUGACAUUACCCACAGAAGAAGCACCGGCUAACUCCGUGCCAGCAGCCGCAGUAACAC
rnacentral:rRNA from 1 species